UGGUUCCUACGGGAGGCAGCAGUAGGGAAUUUUCGUCAAUGGGCGCAAGCCUGAACGAGCAAUGCCGCGUGAACGAGGAAGGUCUUCGGAUCGUAAAGUUCUGUUGAAGGGGAAAAAGAGCGGAGAGAGGAAAUGAACUCCGAUUGAUAUUACCCUUCGAGGAAGUCACGGCUAAAUACGUGCCAGCAGCCGCGGUAAUACGUAUGGGGCAAGCGUUAUCCGGCUUUACUGGGUGUAAAGGGAGCGCAGGCGGCCUGGCAAGUCUGAAGUGAAAGCCAGGGGCUCCACCGCGGGACUGCUUUGGA
rnacentral:rRNA from 1 species